UACGGAGGAUCCAAGCGUUAUCCGGAAUCAUUGGGUUUAAAGGGUCCGUAGGCGGUUUGGUAAGUCAGUGGUGAAAGCCCAUCGCUCAACGGUGGAACGGCCAUUGAUACUGCCAGACUUGAAUUAUUAGGAAGUAACUAGAAUAUGUAGUGUAGCGGUGAAAUGCUUAGAGAUUACAUGGAAUACCAAUUGCGAAGGCAGGUUACUACUAAUGGAUUGACGCUGAUGGACGAAGCGUGGGUAGCGAACAGG
rnacentral:rRNA from 1 species